AUGAUCACGGAGUGCAUCAAGAGGAGAAAACAGGGUCGCCGUGGUGGCCGUCCUCAAAAGGACUCGGGAGGCUCCUCUAAUUCUCGUGAGGGCUCCCUUGAGAAGGUUCACCAGGAGAUGCUCACCUUGCUGCGCCGCCUUACUGCUUCUGCACCAUCCUCAGGUUCUGCUGGUUCUGCUGGUCAGACGUCUGGUCCACCACCGCACUCUUCGUCAGGUACAUCUUUGCCCUGGAUUCUUGAUUCUGGGGCCUCCUUCCACAUGACACCACACAGAGAUCAUCUUUGUGCUGUCAAUUCCGUGCCUUCUCCUCUUACAGUUCAGACUGCAGAUGGCACUUCUCUUUCUGUUGCCGCAAGAGGGACUCUUUCCACGUCUUCUUUUCAUGUCCCUGCCGUUUCUCAUGUUCCUAAACUGACUAUGCAACUUCUAUCUGCUGGUCAACUUACUGACUUGGGUUGUCGUGUUAUUCUGGAUUCUGACUCUUGUUGUGUUCAGGAUCGUCGUACGGGGACUCUGGUUGGGAUCGGUCCUCGGCGCCAUGACUCUCAGCGCCUUUAG
rnacentral:rRNA from 1 species